GAUGAACGCUGGCGGCGUGCCUAAUACAUGCAAGUCGAGCGAACGGACGAGAAGCUUGCUUCUCUGAUGUUAGCGGCGGACGGGUGAGUAACACGUGGAUAACCUACCUAUAAGACUGGGAUAACUUCGGGAAACCGGAGCUAAUACCGGAUAAUAUUUUGAACCGCAUGGUUCAAAAGUAAAAGACGGUCUUGCUGUCACUUAUAGAUGGAUCCGCGCUGCAUUAGCUAGUUGGUAAGGUAACGGCUUACCAAGGCAACGAUGCAUAGCCGACCUGAGAGGGUGAUCGGCCACACUGGAACUGAGACACGGUCCAGACUCCUACGGGAGGCAGCAGUAGGGAAUCUUCCGCAAUGGGCGAAAGCCUGACGGAGCAACGCCGCGUGAGUGAUGAAGGUCUUCGGAUCGUAAAACUCUGUUAUUAGGGAAGAACAUAUGUGUAAGUAACUGUGCACAUCUUGACGGUACCUAAUCAGAAAGCCACGGCUAACUACGUGCCAGCAGCCGCGGUAAUACGUAGGUGGCAAGCGUUAUCCGGAAUUAUUGGGCGUAAAGCGCGCGUAGGCGGUUUUUUAAGUCUGAUGUGAAAGCCCACGGCUCAACCGUGGAGGGUCAUUGGAAACUGGAAAACUUGAGUGCAGAAGAGGAAAGUGGAAUUCCAUGUGUAGCGGUGAAAUGCGCAGAGAUAUGGAGGAACACCAGUGGCGAAGGCGACUUUCUGGUCUGUAACUGACGCUGAUGUGCGAAAGCGUGGGGAUCAAACAGGAUUAGAUACCCUGGUAGUCCACGCCGUAAACGAUGAGUGCUAAGUGUUAGGGGGUUUCCGCCCCUUAGUGCUGCAGCUAACGCAUUAAGCACUCCGCCUGGGGAGUACGACCGCAAGGUUGAAACUCAAAGGAAUUGACGGGGACCCGCACAAGCGGUGGAGCAUGUGGUUUAAUUUGAAGCAACGCGAAGAACCUUACCAAAUCUUGACAUCCUUUGACAACUCUAGAGAUAGAGCCUUCCCCUUCGGGGGACAAAGUGACAGGUGGUGCAUGGUUGUCGUCAGCUCGUGUCGUGAGAUGUUGGGUUAAGUCCCGCAACGAGCGCAACCCUUAAGCUUAGCUGCCAUCAUUAAGUUGGGCACUCUAAGUUGACUGCCGGUGACAAACCGGAGGAAGGUGGGGAUGACGUCAAAUCAUCAUGCCCCUUAUGAUUUGGGCUACACACGUGCUACAAUGGACAAUACAAAGGGCAGCGAAACCGCGAGGUCAAGCAAAUCCCAUAAAGUUGUUCUCAGUUCGGAUUGUAGUCUGCAACUCGACUACAUGAAGCUGGAAUCGCUAGUAAUCGUAGAUCAGCAUGCUACGGUGAAUACGUUCCCGGGUCU
rnacentral:rRNA from 1 species